CCCAGACUCCUACGGGAGGCAGCAGUGGGGGAUAUUGCACAAUGGGGGGAACCCUGAUGCAGCGACGCCGCGUGGGUGAAGAAGCGCCUCGGCGCGUAAAGCCCUGUCAGCAGGGAAGAAAAUGACGGUACCUGAAGAAGAAGCCCCGGCUAACUACGUGCCAGCAGCCGCGGUAAUACGUAGGGGGCGAGCGUUAUCCGGAUUCACUGGGUGUAAAGGGAGCGUAGACGGCCAUGCAAGCCAGGGGUGAAAGCCCGGGGCCCAACCCCGGGACUGCCCUUGGAACUGCAUGGCUGGAGUGCGGGAGGGGCAGGCGGAAUUCCUGGUGUAGCGGUGAAAUGCGUAGAUAUCAGGAGGAACACCGGCGGCGAAGGCGGCCUGCUGGGCUGCAACUGACGUUGAGGCUCGAAAGCGUGGGGAGCAAACAGGAUUAGAUACCCGUGUA
rnacentral:rRNA from 1 species